GGAAAAAAAAUUUCAGGCUGGACAAAUACCUCUACAACUACUUGGUUAAAAAGGGGCUGCAUGUGACUGCUGAAAUAUUCGCCAUUGAAGCUAAUGUUGUGAAUCCCGAUACCGUUGCUAUUGAAUCCCCGGAGGGAUUGCUAAUGGAAUGGUGGGAUGUGUUCUAUGAGAAGUUCAGCUCUAAUCAGGCCAAGCGUGCCCAAGAGCCAUAUUCUGAGGCUGCACAGGCUAUUGACAAUGUGGAGUAUCCUAUCCCAUUUGCUGCGCCAACAUCUUUUCCUCAUUCUGCUAGACCAGCGCACAAUAUAUCUCCUCUGGUUCCGGCCUUCCACCUGAGGGCACCUGAGGACGAAGCACUGUUUGAUUUAAGGUUUCCUGAGAUGGAUCGUCCGAGUCCGAGUCAAAGUCAGAGGGUGCCAAUUGUAACUGAUUCUAGCCACCUGAUGGAGUAGAUUUCAAAUAACGCCUCAACAGUGGGAGGCCAAAGAUGAGGGAGAGGGAAAGUAAAAGAGGAAGAGGAUCAGUGAGUUGAUAAUGGGGAAAACGAAUGUUAAAUAGGAGAAUAAGGCUCGCCAACAAGUAUGUAAUCAAGGAUGGAGCUUAUCUGUCAGAGCCCUGAAUUUUUUAGUAGAGCUGAAAAGUCAACUUAAUCUGCACGUUGAUUAUAGUAUUCAGUUCAGGUUCAUCUUUAAGUUCGUUUAUUCUGUUUUUUGUUCUCAGGGAGUUGGUAUUGCGGCCCCUGCCAUUGACUAUCAAUUGUCAAGUCCCAGUUUAUGAGUAUCAAAUCAAAAGAAACAAUUUUCUAAACUUCAUCCUGUCCUCAGCAUGAUGUUUUACCUAAAGUGGGCUGGCAGCUCAACCUUUUGAGCGCACAUUUUCUGCCCUUGCAAAUUUUAAUGAUUUCAACAGUGAUAUGCUUAUGCAUGCUGACUUAAGUGAAGAACAUGCCAGAAUAAGUUGAAUACUCAUAAGUGAUCCCGUGAUCUUAACACUUAGCAGUUGUUUUGAUUACAAUAUCAAGUUGUGAAUUUGUUUCCAAAAUAUUUUUGGUCGUUGAGAUAUCUUUCUGCAACUUGCUGCAUAUCAGUAUUCAAGGGAGAAAUUCAACUUAAAAUUCUAAUGUGAAAUGUGAGAGCCUUAUGUAGGAUUAUGGAAAAAGUGGAACUCUUCAUGGUGAAGAUUUACAUAAGUUUUCAGCAUAAACAAAAACUUUGGUGAUAGGCAGGCGAAAGGAGAAAUUAAGGAUUUUUUCUUUUCUCAUACUAGAUAGUGGGCACAACGGGGUUCAUCUCAACUCUCUUUGCUGGAAAAUAUACUUUUUUUUAAUGUUUAUAUUGAUAUUGAAUUCCUUUGCUUCUUUGUGUCCUUCUUGAUAUUUUAAAAUUUUUUAUUGAAAAUCCUGGCUCUACCACCGUCUUGUAGUUGUUCAGAAAAUGAGGCAAUGCAUGGAAGAUUCUAAAGAACUAAGAACAAUGUUAAGAAUGAAGUCUUUUGGAUGUAAUGUCUAUUCUCCAAGGCUGUCUCUCGUGUUUGCUUCUCUUCCUCCCCCACUUAUUUCGAGGGGUACCAUGCAUCGGACAAAUAUAAAAGAAAAUCGGACUAUGAUAAAGGUUUCAACAACGAUUGGACUGUGACAGAUUCAGGGGAUAGGAUCGUCGAGAUGACCGAGAAAUCUAAAAUACGCAUGGAAGAUCCUUGACAAAAACUGCAAAGAAAAUUGAAGAAGAAAUCAGAUACUAGUACUGCAGAUAAAGUACAAAAAGAAAGCCCAUGAUGUGAAGACAAUGACUAAAGACAUGAUGGAUUCUACAAAGGCUUGAAAAGUGCAUCUAUGAUUACUUGGUUAAGAAGGGGAUGCGUGAGUCUGCCGAGGCAUUCGCGAGUGAAGUUGAUCUUGAAAUUCCCACAGAUGAUGCUCCAAAAUCUCCGGGGUCAUUUCUCGCGGACUGGUGGAAUGUGUUCUCUGAUAUGCUCAUCUCUAAUCAGUCCGCCCAAGAUCCUUAUGCUGAGGCUGCACGUACUAUGGACAAUGUGGUACCUCAAGUCCCUUAUGCUGUGCCAGCAUCUUCUUCUCAUUCUGUUACACCAGCACAUAAUAUAUCUCUUGUGGUGCCGGCAUUUACUCCUGAGAGAUCACAAGAGCCAUACCAUCUGAGGAUGCCUGAGGACGAAGUGACACCUAAGUUAAGAUUUCUUGAUGUGGAUCGUCCGAGUCAGGGGGCGGCGUUUGUAACUGAUUCUAGCCGCCUGAUGGAGCAAAUUCCAAAUAUGCCUCAACUGUGGGAGGCCAAAGAUGAGGGAGAGGGACAAGGCAUUUACUUUGACCAAACUAUGCAGAUGGAACCAAAUGCCGAUACUCCUGAAAAGGUUAUGCUUCAGGUGCCAGAUCCUUCUGAAGCAGGCUCUUCUACUGGCUCCUGCUCUGGGAUGCAGCAAACUCCCUAAUCAAAUCAAAAUCUCUUGAUUUCCUGAUCUUCCUCUUGGCAUGGAAUUAAGAAGAUUGGGAAAGAUGCUGACUUGCAGAAAGCUACAAUAGAUGAUACUGAAAAGAAAAAGGAAAGGAAAGCUACAUAUGUCAAAGAGAUGAUAUCUAACUUCUCUUUGAUUUCCUGUCCUCAUUGUACUAGAAGCAAGACAAUGUGUUUCCACUUUUAUCACUAGGAAAUGUUGGUUGAUAUUGGGCAUGUGUUGUUUGGUGGCACCAUGGCACUAUGUGAGUCAACGUAUUCAUUUCAAAGGAUUGUUGAUCUGAUGUCAUUUCAGCCGCAGGUAUCAUAAGUUGGCAUUUCUCAAGAGCAUUCUCUCGGCCAAAAAAUUUGAUUCAGGUUUCCCCUAUAUCACAUGAACACUUGAUCUAAUAGGAAACUAAAUAAACAUGGUUUGAUUCAUCUCAUAGCUUUGACGUAGAUAUUUUGUUGGAUGUUAAUCCCUAUUGACACAAAGUCAAGACUAGAGGACGGCAUCAAAUGGAAUAUAGUACAAAAAUGUGGCAUCAGAAGGAAGAUGCUAAUUAGAUUCUAUAAUAUUAGACCAGAUGAUUGCAUCAUAUGAUAUUUGUUUAUCUUGCAAAA